GCUGCCCCCUCCGCCGCCGCCUUUCUGGGGGACUCCUUCUCGGGGUUCGGCGUGUGAGGCCGAGGCCGAGCCCCGCAGAGUGUCGGGGCGCGGCGGGGGCGUAACGGCCGGGAGCCGCGGGGCUGGGCCCCUCGAGCGAUGCCGUGAGCAGCAGCAUCCAGGCUCUCCUGUCAGAGAGCACAGCACCAUUUCAGCUCUCAUGCUGCAAGACUUCUUGGAGGGGAGAGGAAGGAAGAGCUUUGUACACUGAGAAAAUCUGGCGAGGAGGGAAGGAAAUACCGUACUUUUAAUGUUGCCGCCCAGCAGCCGAACUCCCUGCGGGGGAACCUCUUCUGUCCCUGGAGCUGAGUUUGAUCGUUGCCUCUGCACUCAGCUAUAAACCCAACCCUGCCGCCUCUGACCCCCCGUUUUGGCAGGAGGCCAGUCACCGGAGGGGUGGACGGUGGACUUCCGUUGUUCACGCUUCACCUCCGGCGCGGGGCAGUGCUGGGGACAAAGGACCAGCAGCGCCCCAGGAGGGGCCGUGGGAGCGCAGCUUGUGCGCAGGGAGGAGGAACGGCGAGGCGUACCGGGCGGCGCUUGCCGACGUGCCCUGCGCCUGGAUUACCGCCGGGUCGCCGUGCUGCCACCAUGCACCCUAAAAGCUUUCCCCUUAACCUCUCCGUUCCCCCACUUUGACCUAGCUGUCCUGUUUGCCUGCAGAUAAAGGCUUUCCGAACGUGUUUA